UAUCCUUUCUACCGCACGCUCUAUACUUUCUCCCGAUGAUACGUUUCCUCUAAUAUUGCAACCAAAUAAUUGCUCUCCUUCCUUAUUGACUUCGAUCUUGCUACCAUAUCUUCCCUAUCCUUCUCUCGUUAGCCCUGAAUCUUGCACCAAAUCAUGUGAGCCUUAAUCACUUAUUCUCCCCCCUUGCCAUUUAGUUGCAUCAACAUCUCCAUCGCCUAACUCCCCCGCCGCCGCAUCCUCUCGUCGUUGAUGCCCUACCGCCACAUCCCCUACCUGUGCACCCUGCCAUCACGUCCCGCGCCGCUCCGCCCCGCCCCUACCACCGCAACAGCGCUGGCUUGCCCUGCCACUGCGCCACGAGCCAACUAGAGGUCGCCGAUGUCCUAUGCCCCGAGCCAAGGGGCGCUCUCCGACGUUCCUCAUCCUCACGAGAGGGUCCCGCGCACUCCCGUCGCCCUGGUCGCCCAUCCUUGCCAUCGUUGCCUCCCUGACCAGCGAACUCUGAUGAGGUCAAUAUGAUCAGUCUAGGGGGUUUAAUCUGUAUCAAGGUAUUUAUACAUCAGGAUGCGACAUGGAUUAUUAUACAAACCAGUCAUUUAUACAUCAGGCAGCGACAUGGAUUAUUUAUACAUCAUCAGAGUGCGUCCAAAUGUACAAUGCCCGUGAUGUAUCUGAUUCAAGCUUAUGUGGCAGGGAUGAUAUUCAGGAAGCAUAUGUAUGUUUCUUUUCUGCAUAUAACGUGUAUGUCAAUGAUUUUAUGGAGCAUCUCACUAUAUUCUAAACUACCAUUGUGAUGCAUUUGUAGCUUGACCAAUGGCUGAGUACGCCCCACUCCUUUCAGGCUCUAGAGUUUAAUUUUAUCAAUGAAACUCUCAGGCAUUUGUUUUCCUUUCACAAGUCAUGCUUUCAUCCACUAGGUAAUCAAAUCAGGCUCCAUCUGUUCACGAGCAAGCGGAAGAGUAACGAGACAAAAGAUGUCAGCACUCCUGGUCGUAUGUAGGCGACGAGGGGCAUGGCAGCGGCGCGGUAGCGCCCUAGCAGGAGUACCAGCGAGAUGCAGAAGGGGAUGUAUCACGUACUAAUGAUCGAUCAUCUAACUUGCUCCGCCGCUUCACGCAGCACAUGUAUUAAGUGUGCCAAUGGAAGGGACAAUGAUAUACAAGAUUUCGGAGUGGCGACAUUGACUCUGUUCCUGUCAUGCCUUACAAACCAGUUUCUUCAUCAUUCUCUGUAUCAUUUAUGUAUUCCUAAAUUUUGCACAUGAAUGUGGUGCACCAGAAAAGGUGACAUGUGAGGCCACAGACUCAGCAACUUUGUGACCGUUCAAGUACGUGCCCGCUGAAGACCGUUGUGCUCAUACGCUUCGCCGCUUCCACACUAAGAGCAAGUCCAACAAGGGGACUAGCUUGUCAAGAAGGAACUUGUGCAGAGGAGCAACAAAAGCAUUGCACACGUGCUCCAACAUUGUUGCACGCCAUCAAUUGUAUGUGUGUAAACAAACCGGGAGCUAGGGGAAACAAAUCCGCAGGUGAGUUAAACUCUCUUGGUACCGUUACACUGCUGAUAAGAGGAGCAACACUCAUUGUAUAGUUGCUCAUUAAAAAACAAGCAUUUUGGUCGAUAAUUGUACACACUAGCAAGUGCAUGUAUCUUUUUCCUGCUGUUGUAGUGGGAUCAAGGCACAUACAAUUAUGGAGGAGAUGACAUGCCUCAAAGUAUGAGAGUUGAAGCAAUAAAUCACCAUUUUUCCA